CCACCACUUGAGAUUCUACUAUAAAAUAAUAUUUUAGCAUCAAUGAAGUACCUACAACAAAGUAAACAAUGUUAGCGUUAAAAUUGCCAACCUACCUCUCCUCAAGAAUGAUUCGAGCCUGAUAGCAAAUUGAAUCCUAUUUUCCUCCUAGUUUCUUGCAACAUUCACUCUUAUGUAAGGACAUUGCAUCUUAUCUUCGUUAAUAAUCCUCCUUCCUUUUGAGUCCAUAUCCCAGAAACCAUGACAUUCAAUAUUUCCUUAGUCAAGAGCAUAAUUGGCAAGGUGGUCUGCUAAUGUAUUCCCUUCUCUGAAUAUUUUUGUGACCUUGAUGAUACUUUGUUCCUUCAAUCUUAAAAUCUCAUCAACAUGAUCAGUAAUACACUAAAGAGGCUUCCAUGAUUCCUCUAUAAUGUUCUUUAAUAGCAAGGAAUCUGUCUGCAGCCAUAUCUGAAAAUAAUUAAGAUUUUUGCACAUCUUCAAUGCAUCCACAAUAGCUACUGCUUCUGAUUCAUUAUUGGUUCCUUAAGAAAUAUCCCUUCCUUUUGCAUAUAUCAAAUCACCUACCUCAUCCCUUAUGCAGAAACCAAUUGAACUCCUCCCUGGGUUCCCUCUACAUGCUCCAUCUAUAUUUACUUUGAUCCACCCUCUUGGAGGAAAUUCCCAUAACACCUUUUCAUAUUUCAAUCGAGGUGUGUAUUUCUCCAUCAUUGUCAGUAAGUCCAGCCACUUGUUAGGAACAUGCAGUCCAGGUUUUUUUAGUUGGACUAGAGCUUGCAUAGUAGAUGACACCUGGUAAAUAACUCUGCUCACUGACACUGCUUCUCCAUAGUUGAAAUUGUUUCUUCUCUUCCAAAGUUCCCAUACAAUGCAUGCAGGAAGUAAUUCCAAACACUCCUAGCAGCAUUGGAUGUGAAGAACAAAUGUACUAAUGACUCCUCCUUGGGAUCAGCACAGCACCAACAUUUUGAUGGCAUAGAGUAUCAUAUUUUAUGCAAGAAAUCACCAAGUGGCAGUUUGGCUUUCCACACCUUCCACAGGAAGAAGGAUAUCUUGAAAGGUAAGCCUUUGACCCAUAUCAUCCUGUAACCUAAUCUUGAGUUUUCUCUUCUUCGCAGGUAAUCCCAUGCAGACUUCACUGAAAAAUGACCUCUUAUUUCAACCAUCCAGAAUGGUGUAUCUAACUCUGCACACACGUUUGGUGGUUUAAUAUUCUGCACAAUGUGGUUUGCCAAAUCUUCAGACACAUGGAAAUAUAAGGCUCCCAGCUUAGUCCAAUUGUCCAACCAGAAUUGAGCUGAUCCCAUUCUCGGUUUCCAGUAGAUUUGAUGCUCAAUCAAGUCCCUACAUUCUAGCAUUUUUCUCCACACGUGGGAUCCAUGCUUCCAAGGUAUAUGGCAGAUUUGGCUUUGUUCACCAGUUGACCAUAAGCUUGCAAAACCUCCAUGACAAGUCUCAGUUUGUGUGUGUCACACUCUUUGGCAAUUGCUGACCGCAAAAGAGAGCCUUAACCAUGCCUACUACAUCUUCUUCAAUGAUUUCCUUCAUUUUUGGUAAAAGGAUCCAGUGAAGCCAUCCGGUCCACCUGCUGAGUCCCCAUUCAACCACAUAACUGCUCUCUUCACUUCUUCAUUGGAAGUCAAAGCCAUCAAUCUUUCAUGUUGAUCACUCUCUACCAUUGAAGGAUUGACUUCAAAUUGCCUUUCAUGAACCAAGACCACCUCCUCCAGGAUUGCAAUCUUCUGGAAUAUAUCCCCAUAUGUAGCUCUGCUCCAGGUUUUAUGCUUAGUCCAGAAGUUAAGAAAUCUGAAUGACUUCUUAAUUAGAGGAGUUUCUAUAUCACAUUUCAGCAGCAUUGGGCAAUGAUCUGACCCAAUUUUGGACAGGUAUUGAUGCAGUGCCUAAAGUCAUCUACUUCAAUGAGAGAAACUGAUUUUACUAUAUCAAUAAGCCUUGGCGAGAGAUAACCCUGCUUGGCAACAUUAAGGAAAUUUUGUGUAGUGGAUUCCUCAUCCAUGUCUCUACCUUUAAGUUCUGUGUGGCCACCUUGGUCAUGUGCUUCUAUUGCUUCUUUUGAUGUCACAACAUCAUAUGCCUGAUUGUCACAGGAAUUAUGGACUUGGAGACAUUUUUUUGGACAGCACUGUUAAUGAGCUGAUUUGUACAAAGUUCUUCACUGUUUUCCACUUCUAAACAUGCAAACUUGUUUGUUGUCUGAA